UCUCUUCAGUUGAAAACUCCACUCCAUACAUAUAUAUGGGGAGGUACAGGCUCCAAGGCGGUUUUACAGUGAAUUCUGCAGGAUCUUCAAACCGGCACUUUUAAACACACUGGAAAACCAGAG